AUGGAGUUAUACUCAGUGUUAGCUACACCUGUUUUUGGUCGCAUGGAUACUUUUUAUGGUCGGUGUAAGCGCACAAGCUGGUGGUUCCUGAGUUUUUAUAAAGUAGGGAGUAAGUUUAUAGGGGCUAUAAUGGGUGCUGGGGAUCUGAAUAUUCAAACAGAAGAUGGAAAUAUUGGCAUGCCAAGUAAUGUCUGUUGUGUCAUUGUGGAGUACCUUUCUGGAGGUGCAUUGAAAAUAAUUCUGAUAAAGAACAGGAGAAGGAAGUUAUCUUGUAAAGUUGUGGUCCAGAUAUCUGUUGACCUUGCCAGAGGGAAUGGCCCUCCUAUGCCCUGCUCCUCUCGCAUUGGCGCAAAGUCGCCUCCUCCCCCACCUCCGUCUCCAUGUGUGCAACAACGACCCCGGGAGGAGCUCGAGCCGCAGCGAUGGUCCAUGGUGCCGUCACCGUCAUCUUUGGCAAGAGAAGCGUGGGCUGCAGAGACGGCCGGAUUCGUCCGACCCUCGCGCUGCCGUCCGUCCACCCUCGAGGAUAAUGUGUUUGUUCAGCUGAUCUGUACAGUUUCAAUGCCGGGUUGUUAA
rnacentral:rRNA from 1 species